GACAUGACUCUCGACAAUGGAUAUCUCGGCUCUCGCAUCGAUGAAGAGCGCAGCGAAAUGCGAUACGUGGUGCGAAUUGCAGAAUCCCGCGAAC
rnacentral:rRNA from 2 species